UUCCGUGAGUUGGGUCACGAACUUGAAGGAAAAAGCUCCUCGGCCCACAGCCUAAUUGAAAAGGACACACUGGAAUUCUUCUACCUGUCUGAACUGACACAAGUUCCAAGUGGCAAUUUCCUCAUUGAGAUGGCAAGCUGAACUUUGCUGCUGGACUCCAAGUGGAGGCCUUUGUUGUCCAUUCAAGCGCCCUCUGGCAAAAUCACAUUAAAAAAAAACUAAAGCUCUCUCUGCUUCUGCCAAGAACAAGCCUUGACCCCGUUUUCAAAAGAGACCAUGUAUAAGAGAGCUCUCAGCACCCAGUCUUUCCUCUAUCACCU